UCCCCAGUGGCUCAGUGGUAAAGAAUCUGCCUGCCCAUGCAGGAGAUGCAGGUUCGAUCCCUGGUUUGGGAA
rfam:TPA: Bos taurus chromosome X, whole genome shotgun sequence.